GAAUAUGUCCGACGACGGCAGUUGGACAUUUUCUAUCGACAAACAUCACAUGUCAAGGAUCGUAUCUCUCGCUCCCACAACGACAUUGCUUGACCUGGAAAAAAAUGUGUUGAAGGAGUAUUUCCCAACAUUGAAGCUCUCAUCUCCGCCUCUCUCAGUUAUUGGCCGCCAAACACUAAAGAACUCACUACCGGAAUCUCAACUCCCUCGGUCAUGCGACACACGAUGGGUCUAUAUUGUAUUUCUACCGCCAUUUUGAAGCACACAAGGGAAUGAAUCUGUUUGUUACUUUCAAAGUACACCCCGAACCAACUAAUGCGAGCCAAGUAGCUGACAACCUUUUUCCCUUCACCACCCCAAACCAACCUAUCCAAAAAAGCCAUUACCUUUUCAACCGU
rnacentral:lncRNA from 1 species